ensembl:lncRNA
GGAAAAGCAGAAACCAGUGGAAGGAAGUCACGCUGAUGAUCUAUUUCUAAACACCUCCCCGUUGGUGACUCAGCACAGACAUCUCUUCAGCAAGCCCCAACUCCAUGGGCUAGCACAGGUAACCCCUAGUGACUAAUUGCAAAGGGAAGAAAAAAAGACAAAGGUGGAAAAAAAGGGUGGAAAACAGGGUGGAAAAAAAGACAGGGUGGGGUGGGAAAUUAGUUAUGUGUAUAAUCUCACAGUCAGCUUGGUGCAAUGGUUAAGUGCUCCAGCUGGGGGUUCAGGCUGCCAGGGUUCAAAUCCCAGCUUUGGGACUUGCUACAGGUUAUUUUUAUUUGCUUUGUUGCAGGGAGUGGGCUUCUCCUGUUGUGACUCAGAAGUUUCAGCAUGAGGACUUACUGCUCCAAGGCAUGGGGGAAUCUUAGUUCCCAACCAGGGAUCAAACCCAGGUCUCCUGCAUUGGAAGAUGGGUUCUUAACAGUGGACCACCAGGGAAGUCCCUCUGCAGUCUUCUAGAACUUCAGGUCCUGGAGGAGGGCAGGAUGACUGACUGGAUGGAGCUGCCCGCGGCGGGGGCUCAGGUCUGGCGGAGUGUCUCGGCUGGACGUACUGGCUGGCUUUUCAACAACUUCUGUUUUCAGUAAACAGAAAUCAGAACAGCUGUUCUCCAUCUUGCCUUCCGCGGCCCCCUGGGCACUUACCAUGCAAGGACUGGGUUAGCUUGUUUUGAGCUAACCAUCCUUCCCCCCCGGCCCUGGGGAAAACGGACACCCAAUCCUGAAAUACACGUGUGCCCACGGCUCAUAACCAACCACUGUUCACCUUUUCUUCUAUUUGCUCUGAAUCCACUUUUAUUCUUAACAAAAGAGUAAAGCAUCGCAUGUUCAUGCCCUUCUAGUCUCCAACCACCAGAGACAAACUCCAGCAUGAAUGGAGCCUGUAGCCUCCCAGCC